ACCCGCGCGGGAGGCGCGGGCCCUGGCGACUGCUGGCGCUUCGCUGCCGUCGGUGCACGUGGGCGGGAGGAUUGCGGCAGCCGCCCCUCUCCCCCUGUGCCGUCGCCAACCCCGCAGGCUGCCGCCUCGCGCCGCCCCGAGGGGGAGCUCCCGGGCGACGGAGAGAGCGGGGAGCAAAAGCCAGCCCAGGGCAGGACGCCCGGUGACGGUAGAACUGACUGGAGCGCGGGAAGCUGGCGGAUUGCCGCUACCAACCUUCGCGCAGGACAGUGGGGCUUCUGCAGAUGAGUAAGAACUUGCCAACAAGGUUUCAUCCAGGAGAACGUACAGAGACACUUACUGACAUCAGCAUUGUCUCUCUGACAGAUGGAAUGAAAUACAUUCCUUGGUGGCCAAUAAGGAAAUGACAGUGUGAGCUUUGUCCAGUAUAAAAUGAAAGCAUGCAUCAGGGCAGCGGAGAGACAUCACGUCAAAUCUACAGAUCACUUUACUGGCCCUGGUUUUAAAAAAAACCAACCAAACAGCGUUUUUCCUAAACUGUGUCAGUCACCUGAGUUCAGAGGUAUGAGACUGCUCUCCGUGUUCCAGCCAGCAGAGUUCUGGAUGGGAACACAGUGUCUUCCAGGCAGUGAGAGAACCUCAUAGAUAACUCCUCAUUAGUUCUGCUGGUCUUCCCGCAUGCUAUGUCAAACAGUUUCCCUUGGAGAUACCACACUGCCAAGCAAGGACCUCCAGGAUCCUCCUCUGAAGAGAAUCUAGAUACACCCCCCAACCCUUGGCAUGAAGCAAAAGCCGCUCAUUUCGGACGCACCACCCUCUGCAGUCAGUGUGGAGACCACUGAAUGCAAUGGCCGCCAGCAGAGAUGAGCUAAGGGCGGAUCUGCCUGAAGCCCUAGCUAGGCCCUUUCUUUCUGGUUGUUCUUCUCCCUGCCUGCUACAGGCAAGGGUACCUGAAGAACGCAAAGGACACAGGGCAAGGAAUCCAGAGACAUCUUCCCAGUUCCUUCCGUCACUUGGUAAUGGCAUGAUUUGGAGUGAAUGGUUGCUUCAGGGAGAGACCCUUUGAGCUUUCUGCCAUCACGCCACUCUAGCCUUCCACGGGGGACAGGCUUUUCACUCCCAUAUCUAUUGAUGGUUUUUUUGUUUUGUUUUGUUUUGUUUUUCAAGACAGGGUUUCUCUGUAUAGCCCUGGCUGUCCUGGAACUCACUCUGUAGACCAGGCUGG